rnacentral:rRNA from 1 species
UACGUAGGGUGCGAGCGUUAAUCGGAAUUACUGGGCGUAAAGCGUGCGCAGGCGGUUGUGCAAGACAGAGGUGAAAUCCCCGGGCUUAACCUGGGAACUGCCUUUGUGACUGCACGGCUGGAGUGUGUCAGAGGGGGUAGAAUUCCACGUGUAGCAGUGAAAUGCGGUAGAUAUGUGGAGGAAUACCGAUGGCGAAGGCAGCCCCCUGGGAUAACACUGACGCUCAUGCACGAAAGGCGUGGG